rnacentral:rRNA from 1 species
UACGGAGGGGGCUAGCGUUGUUCGGAAUUACUGGGCGUAAAGCGCACGUAGGCGGACUUGUAAGUCAGGGGUGAAAUCCCGAGGCUCAACCUCGGAACUGCCUUUGAUACUGGAUGUCUUGAGUUCGGGAGAGGUGAGUGGAAUGCCGAGUGUAGAGGUGAAAUUCGUAGAUAUUCGGCGGAACACCAGUGGCGAAGGCGACUCACUGGCCCGAUACUGACGCUGAGGCGCGAAAGCGUGGGGAGCAAACAGG